rfam:Salmo salar isolate Sally breed double haploid chromosome ssa09, whole genome shotgun sequence.
UCCCGUGUGGCUCAGUUGGUAGAGCAUGGUGCUUGCAAUACCAGGGUUGUGGGUUUGAUUCCCACAGGGGAC